rnacentral:rRNA from 1 species
UACGGAGGGGGCUAGCGUUGUUCGGAAUUACUGGGCGUAAAGCGCGCGUAGGCGGACCUGCAAGUCGGGGGUGAAAGCCCGAGGCUCAACCUCGGAACUGCCUUCGAUACUGCGGGUCUCGAGUCCGGGAGAGGUGAGUGGAAUUCCUAGUGUAGAGGUGAAAUUCGUAGAUAUUAGGAAGAACACCAGUGGCGAAGGCGGCUCACUGGCCCGGUACUGACGCUGAGGCGGCGAAAGCGUGGGGAGCAACAGG